CGCAGGGCUGGGAAAAGCCUUCCUGAGGAAGUCGGGUCCUUGGAGUUUUGAGUUUCGCUGAGCGGCUCCUGUUCACACCAGAAAUGAGCUGUGCCCUCAGCAACAACUACUGUGAAUUUGCUUGUGUCCAGUUCACUGUAUUGGCUGUAUUUUGGAGCCUUGAAAGACAUUGAAAGCUGCUGCUUCAAAAUGUCCAUACCUGCAGUUUUUCCAUGGGCCCUGAUUAGGCCCACAGCAUAUCAACAAUGACUACGAAAAGCUGAAGACUGGAACUUAUGAAUUUGCCUAAUAACAAGACCAACUGCUCUCUGACAUAAAUUGGAAAGUACUAUCUUGAGUUGGAUGAAUAGCAAACUGGCAGGCGUGGUGGCUCAUGCCUAUAAUUCCAGCACUUUUGGGAGGCCAAAGUAGGUGGAUCAACUGAGGAUAGGAGCUCGAGACCAGCCUGGCCAACAUGGUGAA